AAAUGCGCCACUAGGCCCAAAACUAAACAAAAGAGAGUAAGUACGAGUAUAAUCAAAAGGAAUAACAAUAACUAAGCAUAAGUACUUACUAAACCAUGAUGUCUCAACUCAGCAUGAAUUUGCGUAAUUAAUAAAUCUACUAUAACAUGAAUGUACAUGAAUGUGACUAGCAUGUAUAAGCAUGAAUAUGCAACCAAUAGAAUGUCAACAAUGUCGAUAGUAAAAUGUCAUUGUUUACUAUUCUAGUCAAAGUCCAAAUGGCAUGUUC
rnacentral:lncRNA from 1 species